UGGUGACCAUGGCGGAGGGGAAACACCCGAUCCCAUUCCGAACUCGGAAGUUAAGCCCUCCAGCGCCGAUGAUACUGCCCUCCUAAGGGUGGGAAAGUAGGUCGUCGCCA
rnacentral:rRNA from 1 species